UUCCCCUCUCUCGAUCUUUCCCUCCGUGUACAUGGAUCACAAAAAUGAGGGAGAUAUAGAGGGAGAGCGGGAGAGAGACCAUGGGGGAGGCAUAUAAAAUUCACAUUUGCUUCCCGUUUCACAAUAAAUUUUUAGCGGAAGCAUCUGUACUUGAGUACUACCCCCAUCCUCCCACUGGAAACCAUGUGAUCGGAUUUUAAAC
ensembl:ncRNA T03G11.19 ncRNA